rnacentral:rRNA from 1 species
AUUGAACGCUGGCGGCAUGCCUUACACAUGCAAGUCGAACGGCAGCACGGGGCAACCUGGUGGCGAGUGGCGAACGGGUGAGUAAUGUAUCGGAACGUACCUUUCAGUGGGGGAUAACGUAGCGAAAGUUACGCUAAUACCGCAUAUUCUGUGAGCAGGAAAGCAGGGGAUCUUAGGACCUUGCGCUGAUUGAGCGGCCGAUAUCAGAUUAGCUAGUUGGUGAGGUAAAGGCUCACCAAGGCGACGAUCUGUAGCGGGUCUGAGAGGAUGAUCCGCCACACUGGAACUGAGACACGGUCCAGACCCCUACGGGAGGCAGCAGUGGGGAAUUUUGGACAAUGGGCGCAAGCCUGAUCCAGCCAUGCCGCGUGAGUGAAGAAGGCCUUCGGGUUGUAAAGCUCUUUCAGCCGGGAAGAAAACGCAUGGGUUAAUACCCUGUGUGGAUGACGGUACCGGAAUAAGAAGCACCGGCUAACUACGUGCCAGCAGCCGCGGUAAAAC